rnacentral:lncRNA from 1 species
CCGGAACCCGAGGCCCGGCCUGGGGCGCGGCUGCUGGGCGCUAGGCCCGCGACGCUGAGGUGCGCGCGCCCCGGGCGGGAGGAGGGGCUGCACCGCCUGGCGAAUGGGAGGGGGACUGGCAGGCUCUCCCUUCCCAAGGGAGGUCGUCCUGUCGCCCUAGACUAAACCCAGGAAGGCUUUUAAAAGAAGCAGAGUCUCCGCGGGGGGAAGCUUGUUCCCUGAGAGGUGGCCGCAGACGAACCCACUGCUCAGUCUGGCAUCCCGAAGCCGCUCCGCUCCUGGCUCUCCCCGCUGUUCCUGCGCGCAGCGGGGGCAGUGCCCCCACACCCACGCGUGAUGGGAAGGCCGGCCUGGGGGUGGGAAGGCCCACCGAAAUAGAUGGUCCCCACACCUCACUGCUUCCUUGGAUGUGGCUAUUUUUUAUGCCAGUGUUCUCCUGCUCUGACCCUACUUGAACUUGACCGCAACCGGCCCCGCCUUGCAGGCCACCCUCCCGCAGCAGAAAACUGUGCGGAGCUCGCGCUGUCCUCGCCUCCGCUGACCCCACCUCCAUGUCCUCACAGACACUAUUUUUUCACAACACAGCUCAGAUCCCACCUUCUUCAUGAGGUUAUUCAACAAACACUAUUAAACUUGUAAGAUGUACCAGAUCCUGAGUUGGAGGCUGAGAGGAGGACAAGAAAACUGCUCCCGUAGCCUAGAGGGAGGGAGAGUCGCUUAAACCACCUGAUGCAGAAUGCUGAGUGCGGAGACCAGGAGGGUCCAUCUGAACCUCAGGGUCCUCUAGGAUACCCAGGACCUCGAGGGUUAAGGGAACAUCGGGUGGUGAUGGCCUCCAUGAUCCCCCAGAGAAAGGGUGUGACUUGAGUGCCUUCUUCCUCUGUGCUCCCCAGGGAGCAGCAGCAUCAGAGUGCUCCCAGGGUGCCAAAGGGACACACUGGACCAACUGGAGACCCUGGGCCCCCUGGAUUCACAGCUGACAAUGGAUUGAGGUGGGUAUAGAAGAAGUCAAGGAAAAGCCCCUGUCAUGAAGAGUUGGAUGGAGACAGGCACAGAGUGGCCGCAGGUCCAAGCAGAGUGAACAUGCGUCCAAACUGGCAGUGGCAGCCCCUAGAAGGGAGACACCAACAGCACCGAGAUCUGUGGUCUCCAGAGCUGACAUCUCCUGCACUUGCCACGUGCAGGCGCUGUGCGGGACCUCCUCUCCAUCCUGUGAGGGUCUCCCUGAACUCAGGGUCCCAAUGGAUUUCCUGGCCCCAAAGAGCCCCUGGGCACCCUGGGAAUGACAAGCUGCCGGGACACUCAGGCCAGAGAGGAAAGGUGGAGAGAACGGCUCCCAGACCCUGGAGUUAAGUCUGUCUGGCUCUCUUCUCUCAGUCACACACCCCUGCCUCUGGCUCGCAUGUCUGGAACAGGGUGUCCAUGGGGUUCAAGGGAAGGAUGUUCCUGGUCUGAGGGGCUUCCCAGGAGAGAGAGGCCUCCUAGGCACUGCUGGUUCCCCCCUAGGGAGUGAGGUGCAGCAGGAUCAAGGGACCCAUUGCCCCCCGCCAGGGUGCCCAGGCCCUCAGGAACCCCCUGGAUCAGCAGGAGAGACAGGGUGAAAAGGGCCCCAUUUGUCUGCCUGGCUGUGAUAGGGUGCAGAGUCCUGUGUGACUUCCUGGUCCUGCUGGGCCUCCAGGUGUGGCUGGAGAAGAUGGAGACCAAGAGGAGAACCCCAGAGAACCCGACCAAUCUUCUCUCCACAUGAGAGGGCUGAGGGCCCUCCUGGACCCCCUGGACUCACUGGUCCAUGGAACAGCCUGUAGCAGUGGGAGCAGAUUGGGAGCCCAGAGCUCAGGGACCCCAGGGACACUUUGGAGCCAGAGUGUGGGGAGCCAAAGGCAAUAAAGGUAGAACAGGAUUCAUGAAUCUAUAGGGACUACCUGGACCCAGUGGCACUGGUGUGAGUCAUCCCAGCCCCUGCCACUUCAGAGCAAUGAGUCUGAUCCUCUGCGUCCCUUUCCUCAGAUCAUAAACUCUUCGCCCCUGAGAAGCCCCUUCCCCUGGGAGGCCCCCACUGUCCCACUGCCAUAACCUUGGGAUGCUCAUCUGGGCCUCUGCCCCUGCAAUAACCCCACCUCCUGAAGCGAUGUCACCUAUUUCUCUUCCUCUUUCAGGGUCCACAAGAUCCCCUGGGAGGUGUUGGGGCCCUGGGUCCCCCUGGAGAGAAGGAGAGUCAGGAUCUCCAGGAAUCCAGGGUGAGCCGGGUGUCAGGGUCUUGGUUUUCCUGGAGACCCUGGCCCCCCAGGAGAAGGUGGCUCAUGACCAGGACAGUGUUAACGGUGACUAUGGCAAGGAUGGUGAGCCAGUACAGCCCGUGAGUGACCAAUGUCCCUGCCACCCCCACUGAGCUCCAGCCUUCAGCCCCUUACCCCUCUUUUCUGUGCCCUACUCCUGAGGGGUCCCUUAGCUGGAGGCCAACACUCACCCACCCCAAUUCCUCUCAUUCUGUGGAUCCUCUGGUCCCACUGGGGAGAAUGGACUACCUGGACCACAUGGAAAGCAGGUAAGUGAGGUAGAAGACCCUGGGACCUUGGGAGGUAGUCGCUGGGAAAUGUGGGUAGAGGCUGGGUGGUGACAGGUGGCACUGACAGGGAGAUGCCUGGUGUCUGUGCUGUCCCUGGAUGUGGUGUGUUGCAUGAGCACAUGGGUUUAUGAGUGUGUUGUGUCUCGGGCAUGUUGCUCCUGGGUUUUUGUGAGCAUGUUCUCACCAGGGCUGGUUACAUGUACUGGCCAAUCAGAAUGGACACUGGAGGAGGGGCUGGCCGGCUUCUCUGCUGGGUCAGGGAUUAACCUGGGCCACUGGGUGGGGCGUGGUUAAGGGGUUCUUCCCCAAGCAUCCAUGCUCCUCAGCAUUUUCACAACGGACACAGCUCCAUCUGUUCUGAACUCACACUCUGCUUCUGUGCCUGUGUGUGCAGUGUGUGCAUGCAGUGUGUGCAUGCAGGGUGUGCAUGUGUGUGUGUGUGGAGUAUGUGUGCAUGUGUAGCACAGGAAGGGGAAGAGUGGAGCCUGGCUGUUCAGGACCUCAAGUUUUCUCCCUUCCUGUCCCAUCUGCAGGGUCAGCUAAGAAUAGCCAUGACUCAAGGGUCAGCUAAGAAUAGUCAUGACUCAAGGGUCAUUUAGGACACAGGAAGAUACCAGAUGAGGAAACUCUCCCCAAGUCCUAAACUCAUUCACAAAUUAGAACACAUAGGUCCAGCCCAGGCACAGUGGCUGAAGCCUGGAAUCCUCCCGCUUCCUGCUUCGGGAGACCAAGGCAAGAGGAUCUCUCGAAGUGUGAGUUGGAGGCCAGCUUGGGCGACACAAUCAGGAAAAGCAAGUGGCCACCAGGUGGCGCCCAAGAACUGGGCCCGAGUUCCCUGGGAGGAAUCUGCACGCAGCCCUGGGAUGGCACAGGGAUGCCUCACGGGACACCUGGCCUCGUCCUGGUAGCCCCUUGCUUGCAUUUCCCGGCCCUGGGGUGUCCUCCCCGACUGCACAUGCAUGUAGAGACCAUUCCUCCUUCUCCAAAGAGGGAUUUGGAACAAUUCUCACAUGACCUGACGAGGGACAGUGGCUGUGCUCAGGGUCCCUCUUUUGUCCUCAGAGCAUGACCAGGCCUGUGGCUCUUGCUCAUUGCCCAAGAGCAUGGGAGGUUGCCCGUGGCAAGGCCCUGGAGGACCCUGCUGUGCUGCCUGGGACCAGGAGGCCCGGCUGCCUUCUCCCAGCACCUCUCCCAGUUAGGGUACUGUGCAGGAAAUGGGUGCAGAGGCCAUAGUGGUGGCUGCUCCUGGGGUCCCAGCAGCUCUAGCUGAGGCAGGAGGAACCAGGGAGCCCAGGAGGCUGAGGCCCCUGUCCUACUGCUCUGGUCGUGCUGCAGUCUCUGUCACCACCAACAACUGCAGUGAGGUGAGCCACUGGGCUGCAGGCUCUAGCCUCCAGCCUGUGACAGAUGCCUCCUCUUUCUGACUCCUCCUGUAGCAGGGCACGGAGAAGCUCUCGCUCAUCGCUGCCUCCUACCACUCCGAACAUGCUGCAGUCUCGUUGACCACGCUGCAGUCUUGGUGGCCACCACCAACUGCAGGGAGCCUGGCCAGGUGCCGCAAGUUGCAGCCUCCACCUCCUCCUCUAAGUCGGGCUUGGAGCAGCAGCGGGAGCAGUCACAGAAGAGGCUGGAAUGGUGGAAUGCACCCUCAGUAUGCAUUAUAUAUAGAGGUUUCGGCAAUGAGGGCCUGGACUUUGUGUUCUGAUUGGAUGGGGGAAACCUCUAGGCUUUAUCUUCAUGCCCUGAUUGGUUAUCCUAAGAGUUGCUCUCAUCCAGUCUUCUUUAUAAGUGGUCAUCUUUGUAAGUUCAUGCCCACUGGGAGUUACUGAAGUUGUGAAUGAUUACAUUUAAACUUAUCCUGUAAUUUUAGUCUGAUUUAUUAAUUCCACCUAUCUCCUUAAGCAAAUUAUUCUCUAUAGUGAUGACCCAAGCAAAUUCCUGUCCCAAGAUGGUAUCAAGAUGAUACCCAAGUUCCUCUCCAGAAUGGUAUCUGGAUAUAUGUGGAGGGAAAUAUUUUUUCUAGGCCUGUAUUAAAUAUGGCACUAAAGCUUAGUGGCUUAAAACAAUACACUGUUAUUAUCUCACAGCUUCUGUGAAUAAGUAGUUCAGGAGAGUGUAGCUGGGUGAUUCUUGCCAAGAGUCUCAUAAGGUUGCAGUCAAUCUGUUGGUGAGAAUUGUAGUUACUUGAAGACUUGGAGUUGAAGAAUUUAUAUCAAAGAUGGCUUACUUAUGGCAAUUGGAUGGAAGCCCCAGUUUCAGAAUGGCUGCUGGCAACAGGUCUUUUUACUUGCCACAUGGACCUCUCCAUAGGCUGACUGAAUGUCCUCCCAAUGUGUCAUCUGGCUUUCUCCAGUGCAAAAGAUCAAAGAAGAGAGUAUGAAGGAACCCGUAAUGCUCUUUAUAAUUUUGUCACAGACCGUCACUUCUGCCAUACUCUAUUGUUUAGAAGUUAGUCAUUAAGUCCAGCCCACACUCAAAAGAACGAGAAUUAACCUCCACCUUUGGAAGAGAGGCUAGUCAAAGCACUUGUGGACAUGUUUUGAAACCACAAAGGGGUAUGGCUGCCAGUCUCCAAGAUGGCCGCCAGUGAUUCUCAUCAGCUGUUAUUAAUACAUUUGUAUAGUCCCUUCCCACAAGAAAAAAGAGUUGAUCUGUUUAAUUAGUAUUAUUUUGUUGAAAUGACAGAGUCUGACUUGCAAGUUUAGGUCAUAAGAAGAAUUUUGACUUCUGCCUUAUUCUCUAUUGGAUCAAUAUCCCUAGGGGAAGCUAGAUGCAAUGUCAUGAAAUCAUUCAAACAGUCCCAUGGAACAAUCCAUCUAGCAAGGAACUGAUAUCUCCUAGCAAUAGCUGGCAUUAACUUACAAGUCGUAUGAGUGGGCCAUCUUAGAAUUGGAUUCUUCAGUCCAAAUCAAGUCUUCAGAUAACUGUAGCCCUGGCUGACAUCUUGAUUACAUCCUCAAGAGAGACCCUGAGCCAGAAUCACUCAGUUAAGCCACUGAGUUCUUUUUGCCAAAAACUUUUUUUUUACCAAGUUCUUUUUGCCACCAACUUUAUUGAGGUAUAAUUGACAAUUAAGAUUGUAUAUAUUUAAGGAAUACAACUUGAUGAUUUGAUAUACACAUACAUUGUGAAAUAAUCGUGAUAAUUAGGUUAACAUAUUCAUUACUUCACAUAAGUACCAUUUUCGUGUGUGUGUGUGUGUGUGUGUGUGUGUGUGUGUGUGUGUGUGGUGAGAACACAUGAGAUGUAUCCUCUUAGAAAAUUUCAAGUAUACAAUAUAUUAUUGUUAACUACAGUCAUAUUAUUGUAUACUAUGUCUCCAGAACUUAUUCACCUUGCGUAACUGAGAUGCUGUACCCUUGACCAAUGUCUCCCCCUUUUCUUCUCCCUCCAGCCCCUGGUAACUACCCUUCUACUUUCCAGUUCUAUACAUUUGACUCUUUUAGAUUCCACACAUAAGUCAAAUUUUUGACCCUUAGGAGCUGGGUGAAUAAUAAAUAUUUAUUGUUAUUUUCAGCCUUAUGAUUUUAAGUUAAUUUGUUAUGCAGUAAUAGAAGUUGCCACAUGAAGCUAUGACACUGGUUAACUCAUUUAUUCAGUAAACAUUUGCUAAGAGCAGACUAAGUGCCAGGAUCAAUUUUAUAAUUGGGGGUACAGGGUUAAGUCAAAAUGGCAGACUAGAAGCAGAUCAUGUGCACUGCUGUCAUGGAGAGGAAACAAAAUGGCUAGUGAACACUGAUCUUGCCAUGUGAUCCCCUAAGAAACCACAUCAGCAUCCAUGAAGGCAGCAAGGGGACACAGAGAGGAGAGAGGAGUGAAGCUGAGCAGCCCAUCUGUGAUCAGCAUGGAGCUAGAAGAAGCUCCCAAACAUAGGGAAAGAGUAAGUGAUUGAGAGCCCCUGGGGGAUUCACAGUCUUCACAGGGACCUGUGCAAGCCUUGGAACAGGAGAAUCUCUUUGACCCACUCCCUGCACCUCUAAGCCAAUGCAGAGAGCCACCCAGAGUUUUGUGGAGGCAACUCUCAAGUCCCUAGGGACUGCUGGAAGCCUUGGACCCUGGAACAGACCAGCACCAGUGCCAUAGCCCCAACAGAGGCUGCAGUCAUGGUACCCGAGGGCAGUAAGAUUGCUCCACCCCAAAUCACUAGACAAAGUUCAGCACCAGCCUCUGGCCCAAUGGUCCUGCUUCUGUUUUCACUUCACCAACAGGUUCAGCCUCCUGUUCCUCCAGGAAACACCCAAACAACAGGAUAGGCAACUUCACCCAAUCCCUGCCAGUUGUAGCCAGGCAGGCCAUACCUGCUAGAGCUUCCAGCCCCGUGGUACCACUUCUGUCUGAAUUCUGCUGACAAGCACAGUCUCUUGUUCUCCUAGGAAACACCUUAAUGGCAUGGUGAGUGACUCCACCCACUGCCACUGCUCAAGGCCAGCAGCCCACACCUGCUAGAGUUUCCAGCCCAACAGUCCUGCUUUUAUAUGAACUCUGCAGGUGGGGGCAACUCCAUGUUCCCCUGGGAAGCAGCUGGACAGCAGAUUAGGUGACCCCACUCAUCCCUGCAACUCCUAGCCAAGCAGUUCUUGCUGGCUUGGGUGGUGCCCAAGCAGUGGGGGAGUCCUCACUCUUGCAUCACUAAAAGAAGUGAGAUGCCCAAGUUCACAGGUCAGUGGAGGAGUGGGUUGUGCCUCCCUCUGUACAGCCAUUCCGGAAAGGAUAUGACCUGUUUGCCAACUGUGGCCCCUGCAUGAGGAAGCCCCAUGGACGAGAACACCUAAUAAAAGAAAUACAGGCAUGGAGUCAGUGAUCAGAGGGGGCUCUUCCAAGGCUUAGGGGUGGACAAGGUGAGGGGGUCAUCUCUACCCCACCCCCUAAAAAGCACUAUGCUAACUUGAGGAAAACACAAAAGAGCUGUGCAGCUGAGAAAAGCCUAUCUGCCUGUCCGCUGGCUAACACUUUUAAGUGCCACCUACUGGAUCACAGCAGAAAAUACAAUACAAAAAUAUUUUGCCAGUACACAGCACCUGUGAAAACUAAGGCAAAGAUUAAGCAACAAAUAAACAUUCUGUACAUACUCGUGACCCUCUGAAAACACCCUAAAAAGAAGCCAACUGACUGUACUCAACUUACAUCACAGUUAAAGGAACACUAACCCUUACACAUGAAAAAGAAUCGAUGCAAAAACUCUGGCAACUCAAAAAGCCAGUGUGCCCCCUUACCUACAAACAAACACACUAGUCCCCCAGAAAUGGUUCUUAGCCAGAUUGAGAUGACUGAAAUGAUGGAAAUAAAAUUCAAGAUCUGGAUGGCAAGGAAGAUCGAUGGGAUCAAAGAGAAAGUUGAAUCCAAGGAACCCAGUAAAACAAUCCAGGAGCUGAAGGAUUAAACAGCCAUUUUAAGAAAGAACCAGCUGGGUGUGAUGGCUCACGCCUGUAAUCCCAGCACUUUGGGAGGCCAAGGCGAGUGGACUACUUGAGGUUAGGAGUUUGAGACCAGCCUGGCCAACAUGAUGAAACCCUGUCUCUACUAAAAUACAAAAAUUAGCUGGGCGUGGUGGCACACAUCUGUAAUCUCAGCUACUUGGGAGGCUGAGGCAGGAGAAUCACUUGAACCCGGGAGGUGGAGGUUGCACAGGCUGGAGUGCAGUGGCACGAUCUCGGCUCACUGCAAGCUCUGCCUCCCAGGUUCCCACCAUUCUCCUGCCUCAGCCUCCCGAGUAGCUGGGACUACAGGUGCCCGCCACCACGCCCAGCAAAUUUUUUGUAUUUUUAGUAGAGACGGAGUUUCACCAUGUAAGCUAUGAUAGUCUCCAUCUCCCGACCUCGUGAUCCGCCUGCCUUGGCCUCCGAAAGUGCUGGGAUUACAGGUGUGAUGGCUCACGCCCAGCAUUUUUUUUUUUUUUUUUUGAGACAAAGUCUCGCUCUGUUGCCCAGGCUGGAGUGUAAUGGCACAAUCUCGGCUCACUGCAACCUCCCCCUCCCAGGUUCAAGCAAUUAUCCUGCCUCAGCCUCCUGAGUGGCUGGGAUUAUAGGCACCCACCACCAUGCCCAGCUAAUUGUUGUAAUUUUAGUAGAGAUGAGGUCUCACCAUCUUGGUUCGGCUGGUCUCAAACUCCUGACCUCAGGUGAUCCACCCACUUCAGCUUCCCAAAGUACUGGGAUUACAGGAGUGAGCCACCAUGCCCAGCCCCACAAAAAUUUUUAAAAAAGAAUUAAAAAGUGAAUAAAAUCUUUUGAGAAAUAUAGGACUAUGUAAAAAGACCAAACCUACAUUUCAUUGGCAUUCCCAAAAGAGAAGUAACUUGGAGAAUAUAUUUGAAGACAUAGUCCAUGAAAAAUUUCCCAAACUUGAUAGAGAGGGGAACAUACAAAUUCAAAAAAUACAGACAACCCUACAGAUACUACACAAGAUGACCAUCCCCAAGGCACAUAGUCAUCAGAUUCACCAAAGUCAAAGUAAAAGAAAGACAUCUUAAAGGCAGCUAGAGAGAAAGGUCAGGUCAUCUGUAAAGGGAACCCCAUCAGGCUAGCAGUAGACGUUGCAACAGAAACUUUACAAGACAGAGGAGAAUCAAGGUUUAUUUUCAGCAUUCUUAAAGAAAAUAAUUUCCAAGCAAGAAUAUUGUGUCCCACCAAACUAAGCUUCAUAAGUGAAGGAGAAAUAAAAUACUUUUCAGAUAAGCAAGUACUUAAAGGAGUGCUAAACAUGAAAACAAAGAACUGAAACAUGCUCCUUCAAAAACACACUCAAGGACAUAGCCUACAGAGAAUGUAAAGCCACCACACCACUAAGUCUACAAAAUAAACAGCCAACAACAUAAUGACAAGAUCAAAAUCUCAUAUAUCAAUACUAACCCAGAAUGUAAAUGGUCUAAAUGCCCGACUUAAAAGGGAUAGCAUGUCAAGUUGGACAAAAAGACAAGCCCCGAUAGUCUGCUGUCUUCAAGACACCCAUCUCUCGUGUGAAGAUACUCACACGUUCAAAGUAAAAGUAUAGAGUAGAUCUACCAAGCAAACAGAAAACAAAAAAGAGCAGGAGUCAUUAUUUUUAUAGCAGAUAAAACAGAUUUUAAACCAACAACAAUCAGGAAGGAUAAAGAAGAGCAGUACAUGAUGAUAAAAGGUUUAAUUCAACAAGAAGACCUGACCAUUCUAAACAUACACGUACCCAAUAUAGGAGCACCCAGAUUCAUAAAACAAAUUUUUCUUGACUAACAAAAAGACUUAGACAGUCACACAAUAAUAGUGGGGGACCUUAACACCCCACUGGCAGUGUUAGAUCAUCAAGGCUGAAAACUAACAAAGAAAAUCUGGGCUUAAACUCGACAUGUGACCAAUUGAACCUAAUAGAUAUCUACAGAG